CGUAGGUUCGAGGACUACAAAAAACACUCGGAUUGUAGGCAACAGUUUACUUCCUGGGAUUAGUGACGUAGAGAAGACCAACAUUAUCAUAGUUCAGCCCUCUCUGCUUCGCUUGGGUACGCCCUCAAAGACGGGGGUGGAGAGCGCUGAGUCAGAAGAGAGCUAAAAUGGCGGAGGUUGGGAGUCCCUGCUUUGACCCUGUUUGCAAACUCUUGUUUCAUCAUUUAAGUGAUUAAAUCUCUCGAGUAGACGCUGUCUCUUUAGAUGCAAGGGCAAAAUAGCACUUUAUGGACUUACACAGAGGACAUCAUGUUUAAUACGGUUCCGGAAAAAUCCAGUCAGAAGUUGUUCACGGAGUUUUCACAAUAACUGCUUCUUAUGAACCGAAGCUGGAUUUGCGCGACGUUUCCUCUUGAAAGUUGGAUUACCGUGCACUUCUGGAUCACAGGCUAUUCGCAGCUGGACACAUCCUUCUACACUGUAUGCAAACAUGCAACAUCAUUACACACAGUACAAGGCAUAUGAGGAGCAAAGGAACCCAGGCAGUAGCAUCGUUUCACAAUGUUUCAAUCACCAUCAUCAGUGGAUGCCUUUGCCGUCCGUAGCCUGAGAUUUCAGAUUUGCAGCAAAAAAUGUGACUUUCCCAUUUAUUGGAAUGCUGUGCAGGUUAUACCUUACAGCCGUCCGUUACAAUGUCACCAAGCCGUAACAAAAGCAGGAGAGGGAAAGUACAAGGCUAUGUUCCCAAAACACACAAGUGACAUACUUUAUGUGGAUGAUGUGAUCAGGCUUGUGUUUGAUGAGGUAUUUGAAGAUAAGCUGAAGGAAACCCCGAUUCCAAUGGACCUGGCAUCACAGUUUGAGAGACCUUCAAAGGAGGACGUGAUUGCAUGCCAUCUUCAGUGCAGGGGUCGUCGGAAGCCAACAUUCCGAUCAGGAAGCUCCAAGCAUAUCUGGAGAACAACACACGACAGGAUGAUAACCCUAAAGUGUCGUCUUAAAUAGCACCAGCUGACAAAGCUUUGAUAUGCCAUUUAUCUGAAUAGAUAGCUGUAAGAAGUGAAUUGAACAAUUUUUGAGAGAAGAGCACAAUAUGGUUACUAAAGUAUGUUUAUUUGUAUAUUGUUUAACAUUUAAAUAUAUAUUUGUAAUAAAUAAAAAAACUUUUGACUGACUACUA